rnacentral:misc_RNA from 1 species
AAGUCGUAACAAGGUUUCCGUAGGUGAACCUGCGGAAGGAUCAUUAACAAAUUGAUUCCACAUCUCUACGUCUUGUGAACUGUUAUAUUGCCCAUGCCGGGUACACUCUUUGUGCGCCCGGCAUGUUUAUGUCAACGUUGAUCUGCCUGAAAGACUGAGACUUUAUAUAUAAAAAUAUAAAGACAACUUUUAGCAACGGAUCUCUUGGCUCUC